rnacentral:rRNA from 1 species
CACGUAGGGCGCAAGCGUUGUCCGGAAUUAUUGGGCGUAAAGAGCUCGUAGGCGGUCUGUUGCGUCCGCUGUGAAAACUCGGGGCUUAACUCCGAGCCUGCAGUGGAUACGGGCAGACUAGAGGUAGGUAGGGGAGAAUGGAAUUCCCGGUGUAGCGGUGAAAUGCGCAGAUAUCGGGAGGAACACCGGUGGCGAAGGCGGUUCUCUGGGCCUUACCUGACGCUGAGGAGCGAAAGCGUGGGGAGCGAACAGG